UUAUUUUUCCUAGGUUACACAACAAAUUCAAGACAAGAAGACAAAAAGGCAGCUGAGCUAGUAAUUCUUCAGAAGAAUUAAGAGACUGUCUUUGAGGAUGUUAUGUUGGAAGAUUGCGGAAGGAAUUUGUAUUGGAGAAGGAAUGCAACACUGUUUCACUGGUUUGAAAAGCUCCUCUAGCAAGCCAUGUGUGGAUGUUGUUCAGUGUUGUACACAGGAUAUGGGGUGAUGGAUACAAUGGUCUAUGUGUAACCCUAGCCUUGUUGCAGCAGCAGCUCUAGGAGACAAUGGAUACCUCAAACAUCAAGAAUGCAUGCUUUGGAAAUGUAGUUGAUAUGAAAGUAUCAGUAUGAAAGAUUUCCUUAAAUAUUCAGUAACAUGAUGCAUAAAAUUAAUUAGAGAGGUCUUAGCUGCCAAAUAUGGCACCUAAUUGCAUUUAAGGAAAUGUAUUUACCACUGCUGUAUACCAGAACAUAUCUGAUAAAUGUAUUUUUU
rnacentral:lncRNA from 1 species